rnacentral:rRNA from 1 species
CGAUGGGGAUGCGUUCCAUUAGAUAGUAGGCGGGGUAACGGCCCACCUAGUCUUCGAUGGAUAGGGGUUCUGAGAGGAAGGUCCCCCACAUUGGAACUGAGACACGGUCCAAACUCCUACGGGAGGCAGCAGUGAGGAAUAUUGGUCAAUGGGCGAGAGCCUGAACCAGCCAAGUAGCGUGAAGGAUGACUGCCCUAUGGGUUGUAAACUUCUUUUAUAAAGGAAUAAAGUCGGGUAUGCAUACCUGUUUGCAUGUACUUUAUGAAUAAGGAUCGGCUAACUCCGUGCCAGCGGCCGCGGUAAUACGGAGGAUCCGAGCGUUAUCCGGAUUUAUUGGGUUUAAAGGGAGCGUAGAUGGAUGUUUAAGUCAGUUGUGAAAGUUUGCGGCUCAACCGUAAAAUUGCAGUUGAUACUGGAUAUCUUGAGUGCAGUUGAGGCAGGCGGAAUUCGUGGUGUAGCGGUGAAAUGCUUAGAUAUCACGAAGAACUCCGAUUGCGAAGGCAGCCUGCUAAGCUGCAACUGACAUUGAGGCUCGAAAGUGUGGGUAUCAAACAGGAUUAGAUACCCUGGUAGUCCACACGGUAAACGAUGAAUACUCGCUGUUUGCGAUAUACAGCAAGCGGCC